rnacentral:rRNA from 1 species
CCUACGGGAGGCAGCAGUGGGGGAUAUUGCACAAUGGGGGAAACCCUGAUGCAGCGACGCCGCGUGAGUGAAGAAGUAUUUCGGUAUGUAAAGCUCUAUCAGCAGGGAAGAAAAGGACAGUACCUGACCAAGAAGCCCCGGCUAACUACGGGCCAGCAGCCGCGGUAAUACGGAGGGGGCAAGCGUUAUCCGGAUUGACUGGGGGUAAAGGGAGCGUAGACGGUUCUGUACGUCUGGAGUGAAAGCCCGGGGCCCAACCCCGGGACUUCUUUGGAAACUGUGUAACUGGAGUCCAGGAGGGGCAGGCGGAAUUCCUGUUGUAGCGGUCACAUGCGUACAUCUCCGGAG